UGUCUCCUGCUCUUUUUCCCA
rnacentral:piRNA from 1 species